CCCUCAGAUGUUCUGGGCUGCACGCGCGCUACACUGAAGUGUCAUAGCAAGUUUACCUACUCUUGACGGAGGGGGUAAUCUCGAAUACACUUCGUGAUGGGGAUAGAUCAUUGCAAUUUUUGAUCUUGAACGAGGAAUUCCUAGUAAGCGCAAGUCAUCAACUUGCGCUGAUUACGUCACUGCUUUUUGUACACACCGCCCGUCGCUCCUACCGAUUGAAUGGUCCGGUGAAAUCUCGGGACGGCGGCUUGGUCGCUUGCGUCCGACUGCUGAAACUUGAUUAAACCAUAUCAUUUAGAGGAAGGUGAANUCGUANCA
rnacentral:rRNA from 1 species